rnacentral:rRNA from 1 species
AUUAGUGGCAGACGGGUGAGUAAUGCAUAGGAAUCUACCUAGUAGUAUGGGAUAGCCACUAGAAAUGGUGGGUAAUACUGUAUAAUCCCUGCGGGGGAAAGAUUUAUCGCUAUUAGAUGAGCCUAUGUUAGAUUAGCUAGUUGGUAGGGUAAAGGCCUACCAAGGCAGUGAUCUAUAGCUGGUCUGAGAGGAUGAUCAGCCACACUGGAACUGAGAUACGGUCCAGACUCCUACGGGAGGCAGCAGUGGGGAAUAUUGGACAAUGGGCGCAAGCCUGAUCCAGCUAUGCCGCGUGAGUGAGGAAGGCCUUAGGGUUGUAAAACUCUU